UUUACUUUCAAGAUUGAUUUGUUUUAUUUUGCAUCUCAAUCAUUUCAAUGAGUGAAAGCCAUGUUAUGACUCUUAUGCUAAAGACUUUAUUUUAUAUAUAUAAAAUAAGGUAUAAUUCUAAUUUAGUCUUAUAAUCAUAAAUCUGAAAAGUUGAACCGACUAAUAAAGAGGUCACUGUAUUCUAGCUGCCAGAUGCAUUAGAAUAGCACUGACUGUAAGUUGCCCAGAAAGAGUUAACUGCAGCAUUGCCCUCAUCAGUGCUUCGUGUCCUGGCGACAGCCGUCGCUUGUCUUCGGUUUCGGAGCGCUUGGAGUUCUGUUGGCUUUCUCCGUCAGUUAAACCUCAGUAACCCCUCAGUGCUUGGACUGUAGGUGACCUCAGCUGGGAAUCUCCCUUCUUGGGGAGGGACUGCUCAGUACUUACCACAUUGGAAACUCCCUAGAGGAGGAGGGGGCACUCUAGAUGGGCUAGAGUGCCCCCUCGUUGGACAGACUUCAACGAUUCCUGAUUGGUUCGUAUCAAACUAGCCUCUGCUGCACUUGGUGAAACUGAAACAGAGACCUGUUUACAUUUUCAAAAGCCUGUUCCACUCCUCUUCCUCCUCUUAAUUUGCUUCUUAUAGGUACCAAAGUUGCUGAGUGGGAAUGGAAACGGUGAGUGGUUGAGAGGAAAAUGGACUGCUAUGGUAACAGACUGAGGUUAUUGACAGUCACAGACAGUGACAUUGUUAAGAACCCAUCACAGCUGGUUUCCUACACCUGGAGAGGAAGUGGUGUAAGAUGAUAAAAUGGCUGCCAAACUAGGAGUUCUCGCUCUGUUGCUGAGCCAUCCACAUGGCUUUCACAGGAGGACCCAGCAGGCAGCAGUAGAAGGUCUGGUGAAACGGAUCAAGUACAGGCCGGCGGUGUAGGAGGAUGGUGCCAGCAACAACAGGGGCAUGGAAGGACUUUUGGAAAUCGAAAAUGAACCGAGAGGUCCCAGACUAAUACGCAUUUGAGUAUUAGUCUGGCUACGCAAGGCUAAACAUAGGCAUAUACACAAGGUAACAUAACUAACAAUGUAAAACAGGGAAUAAUAACAGAUAAAGAGGCACAAUAGCACACUGAAGUGGAAGUGAAAGGUUUGAACUGCAGGUCGAAGACAUUCGCUUAGAAAAAUUUAGUUAGUAGAGUUCAUAACAGUUAUAUAUUAACAAAGCUGUAAACAAGAUUUGUAUCAUUCAAACCUUAGUUAGACAUUUACAUUGAAUGGACAGGUUCCCUUUUUUCUCACGUCCUUCUUAAAACAAUAAUCCCAUAUGUAGAUCGAAGGUGUUUCCCUUCCUGUAAUCAUUCCUCCCGUUUUAAUACCAACAAAUAAGAGGUACCGGGAACGUGAAGCAAGAGUCCACCACGGGAGAGCAAGGAGCGAGCGACGCGAGGCCGGCCAACAGAGAGGAAACCAGUCAGAGUGUUACGAUACGACCAGAGCCCGCCCUGGCGUAUAUGGGGCCCUAAGAAAAAUUUGAUUUGGGUGUGCUGAAGUAAGUAUCAAAAUAAACCAGCAGAAAAUGCAAUUAUUGUAACAGAGUAAGUUGCUUUUGGUUUGAAAAAGUACCACAAUCAACUAAGUACUUAAGAUAAUAAUUAUAAUAAUAAGUACUUAUUUGAUUGUGGUACUUAUCUUCUUAUAUGAAAAAUAAAAACAAAUGCAAAAAAGACAAAAUAAAAUAAAAUAAAUUUAAUAGAUACUUUAAUUGAAAAAAAUUUAAUUGCCAUAAUACAACAUGUAUAAUAAAAUAGAUUAAAAAAAGAAAACUAAUUAAAGGUGCCAUAUUAUGCUCAUAUUCUGGUUCAUACUUUUAAUGUGGUUCCCACUUGAAAAGGUUUACGUGCUCUAACUAUACUAACCUAUCCCUGCAACAAACAGGCAGUGGCAGAGUGAGGAGGUCUGCCCAGCCGUGUGAGUACCCUUGGGGUUUUUCAGGCCUACUGUAAGAAGACAGAGAUUGGUGUGUAGCUGUAACUGUUUCCUUUUAGCCUGGACUUUUUCAAGACUACUAGAUCACUUCCAUGUCUCGAACCUGGGACCCAGACAACCAGACUACCACAUCUCCUCUUUUAAUUCAAACCCCUUUUUAGACCAUAUUUUUUAGGACUUUUUAGACUUAUAUUAGCUUUUUAUUUUUUUUGCACCAUAUAUUUAAAGCGGGCUUGAUUCGGAGCAGUAGCCUUUUUGUAAAAUGUUACUUCAAGUGCUAUCAUAUUCACUAAUUUGGGCUCCUGUAAUCUCCUUGGUCACACAAACUGCUCUUGCACCCGGUAAUCAACAGAACCUGCACAUACAAUAGCUUAAAUUUGUUUCCAUCCCCUAGACCAGGGGAGAUGAAAGCGGGCGCCAUGGAUUACAAGGGGUGGGCUCGGCUCCGUCUACUGUGAAGUUGUCAAAAUUUGUGCAUGUUUAAUAAAAAAAUCAUAAUUGGCUGAUCAAAAGUCGGUGCUCAGAGACCCCUAAAAUUAGACCCAGCACCCUUGAAGUUUAUGAUUGAUUUUUUUAUGCAAGUCUGUGUUUGACAAGCUUAAAAAUAGUCAAAACCAUACACAAAAUAUGGUUUACACUUAAUAUUUGAACACAAAAAAUGCAAAUGCUGCCGCUGUUCACCUGUUUAAUCAAAGUUCGGUUCAAAACCCUGAAUGAUGUUGUGAAUGUGAAUUAUGUGAAUGUGAAUUAUGGUCUUAAAAAUAUGAGGAAAAAUAACCAGAUAUAUUGCAAUAUCCACAGGUAAUAAUCUCUUCGUAACUUUUAAUCAAAUUGCUACUUUUCCUCAAAAGUCCUGCAAUUAUGAAGUUCAGUAUUUAAGUUAACAUUAAUUGUAAACAUUUUAACGUUUUUUGUAGUUGUAUGUGGGCAGGGUCAGUGGUUUGUAAGGCUACAGCAAACAAUUGUUAUAUUGUUUUAUAUAAUAUUUUAAUGUCCCGGCAGUUGUGAUUUUUUGUGUAUAUUUGAUACACCUGAUGGCAAAAAGGAGGAAAGAAACAUCCAUAUGCAGGGUAAACCAAAUAGAAUAGGAAGAAAAAUACAAUUGACGUUUGUUUUUUAAAAUAAAGAUCCGUAAUGAAUCACUUUGUUCUUUUGGUA